rnacentral:rRNA from 1 species
UAGCCGUAAACGAUACUCGCUAGGUGUCGGCCACGGUGCGACCGUUGUCGGUGCCGUAGGGAAGCCGUGAAGCGAGCCACCUGGGAAGUACGGCCGCAAGGCUGAAACUUAAAGGAAUUGGCGGGGGAGCACAACAACGGGUGGAGCUUGCGGUUUAAUUGGAUUUCAACGCCGGAAAUCUUACCGGGACCGACAGCAACAUGAAGGCCAGGCUGAAGACUUUGCCGGAUUAGCUGAGAGGAGGUGCAUGGCGUAGUCGUGU